rnacentral:rRNA from 1 species
AGAUUGAACGCUAGCGGGAUGCUUUACACAUGCAAGUCGAACGGCAGCGCGGACUUCGGUCUGGCGGCGAGUGGCGAACGGGUGAGUAAUAUAUCGGAACGUGCCCAGUAGCGGGGGAUAACUACGCGAAAGCGUGGCUAAUACCGCAUACGCCCUACGGGGGAAAGGGGGGAUCGCAAG